rnacentral:rRNA from 1 species
UACAGAGGGUGCGAGCGUUAAUCGGAAUUACUGGGCGUAAAGCGCACGUAGGUGGCGACGUAAGUCGGGUGUGAAAGCCCCGGGCUCAACCUGGGAAUUGCAUUCGAGACUGCAUUGCUGGAGUACGGAAGAGGAGGGCGGAAUUCCCGGUGUAGAGGUGAAAUUCGUAGAUAUCGGGAGGAACACCAGUGGCGAAGGCGGCAACCUGGGCCAAUACUGACGCUGAGGUGCGAAAGCGUGGGGAGCAAACAGG